ACUCUAUGAUGACAAAUAAUGAUGACGAUUCUGAUCAUAUAAUUUGUACAUCUUGAUGAAUAGUCGAGGCAUUUGUCUCAGAGAA
rnacentral:snoRNA from 1 species